AACGCACAUUGCGCCUUUUGGUAUUCCGAGAGGCACGCCUGUCUGAGCGUCAGUAUAACCCUUCGGUGGUAAAAUCUUUUUUAUCAGCCGGUGUUGGCGUUGGGUAAAGGAGUGCAACACCUCCCUAUGCCCCGCUUAAACUACUGACAGCGGGUACAAAUUUGUUUUUUCGUACAGCGAUAGUAGAAAUAUGAUCGCGAGUAUUCGAACAAAUCCGCUAUAUAAAAUCUUUUGGGAUGGUUCGCAAGAGCCCUACCCCCCAAAUCAGAAUUUUGACCUCAGAUCAGACGAGGAUACCCGCUGAACUUAA
rnacentral:misc_RNA from 1 species